UGGUGGCACUGAAAGUGUCCUGGUGGGUGGGAGCUGGUGCCAAAAGCUGGUACCAGGGUGCUCCAGCCCCUGUAAUAAGAACUCCUCUGUCACAGCUGUGUGGGUUAGAAGACUGGAGAGGAGUGGUACUACUACUUGUGUUACAUGAACCUAGGACCUUACUGGAUUCACUUUUACAGAUUCAUGCUCCCAGAGAUGCAGAAUACACUUCAGCCACUAAAAUUUGAUGAAAUCGUCUGGAGGGAGAUAACAUCCCAAGGCUUCAGUUAUCAUCUUAUGUGAUUGGCAGAGACACUGGGUUGAGUGACUUAGAGGACAAAGUGAUUUACCCACUGAUAUAGAAGACUUUUGAGAAUGAAUCAGAGGAUGAGCAUCUGCACCAAAAUAGUAUCUGAACACAUGGAGUGGAGUAUGAUAGAGUGUUAAUAUUUUAUCACAGAGAACUCUGGGUGCUUAUGACAGCAGUGUGAGAAGCUCAUUAAGGAGUUCUGGCAUGUUACAGAGUUCAGUGACCAGAAGUGCCAAGAAGUAAUUAAAAAAAAAAAAAUCUCAAAUGAUAUCUAAUUAAAAACUGUUUCAGGCAGAAUGAAUUAAACUUAGCUGUAAAGCUGCUUAUUGCAUCCAUCUUCCCCAUGUCAGAAGGAGCCGAGUUACAAAGAAAUAAAUCAGACUGAGAUCAGCUGGGAAUGGAAAGAAGACUUUAACUGUCUACAAAAAGGAACUGAGAGAUGCAGAUUAUAUAAUUCUGGACUCUGAAACCAUCCUGAUGUUUCGUGGGCAACACUGGUUACCUUCUCUGCAGUGCUAGUUUAGUCUAAUCAAGCCUUUUUGUUUCAUGACAUCAUAAUAUGUCUUCCAGUCUUUCUGCUUGAAAACCUUUCUUCCCUUCAUCCCAUCCCAAUACCAUGGUCUUUCUGGCUGCUUCUCUGCUCUUAAUGUGACUCUCAAGAAAUGUGGCUGUUAAACAGAUCCACCUCAUGAAAAACUGCCAACCCAAAUUCUCAUCCAUUCCUGCAGCAACAUCUUGUGUCUGUAAUACAACUGAAAGGUAUGACUGGAAACUCAGUUCAGAGUCACAAAACUUAAAUCUUCAAAGCAGAAUUUAGUGAUGACAAAAAGGAAUCAAAGCUAGCUCAUUUGCUCAGAUUAAUGUCCACUGACUUAAUUGUUUAAAGAAGCAGUGGCUUUGUUGUCUGGAGUGUUUGGUAAAAAGUAGUUCAUAAUAAUACCAGUGUUUAUAUCUAUGUAAAUUAUGUGUGUGCAAAGAAGAGUAUCUGACAUUUAACAUUUUCUGUUCUUCAUGAGAGAGUUACUAAUUAUUAUUAUUUUUUUUUUAAUAUCCAUCAUUCGCUAUCCUGAUAUGUAUGGACAAAUUACACGUUACAGAUACUGAACAAAGAAUGUAGUUCAGCUCGCUUUCUAAACACCAUUAAUUUCACAGUUACUCUAUAAAUACAAUGAAUAAAAAAAUUAAACUCUGAAUAGAUAUAAAAUUAUAAUAAAGAGUAUAUUAUAUUCACUGGCUUACUCACUAUCAAGAUAUUCUUCUACUGCUAUGUCCAAGAACAGCCAUCUAUUAAUUCACAUGCUGCAGAUUAUGAAUUGUAUUAUCAUUUUAAAAUUUUAUUUUUUGUAAUUCUUUAGUGACCGUUUCUUGGAUGCCACUGUUUAAUUAAUUGCUGUAGCAAAUGCUCUGCUACUUAAACACUAUGGUCAAGAGCAAUAUGCAUACCUCAGGAGCCUGGGGACAAAAAAUGAACCUAACAGCAAAGCCUGCUGCACUGAAGACGUACAAAUUAAGAAGAUUAAAACUGAUGGCUUCGGGCAGUGUAGAGUAAUGAUUUUUAGGCCAACACAAGAUUCCAGAUGCUCCAGGAGAAUCCCAUGAUGAGCAAUGUCAACUGAUGUCAAAUGCUACUGAAAGAUCUAAGUCAUUGAUGCCUGUGGGUUUACAUUGGAAAGAACGCAAGAAGAGUCCAUCAAUAUGGGCAACGUAGAACAGGGAAUAAGCAGCUGGGGCUUUUGUGUGCCUGGAUGUGACCAGAGCAUAUGGCAGGACCAGACAGUAGGAAACAUUACUGGAUGCUGCUGUUUAAGCAUAGCCCAUUCCAAUCACCUGAAGCUCCAGGAUGAAGAUGCCUGAUGGAGGAUGUUAAUAACUUCACUCUGACACAAUAAAACUCCCCAUGAUAAUGUAAUGCUUAUCUGUUCAGAAACCUGAGCUUGUAACUACGGCUUGAUUUUCCUGUAUGUAUCACAAAAAGAUCCAUCACCUCUCAGCUGGGAUGCAGCUGGACAGCAAUGAUAAAGCUAUGCAGCUGUGCAGGCUCUCUGCUGUCAAAUGACACAAAGUGCAUGCUGUGCUGAUUAAUUCAUGUUUGCUCUAAGUGAACCAAAUAUUUCUGUGGCCUUUUUUCCCUGAAACAAAUAGAGGCUUAUAUGUAUACGUUAAAAGUAAUUUAAGAAUGCUAUUUAAAUGAAGAACUCAUGUCUGUCGUCUCUUCUGACAAGAGAACACAUGUUACUCAGGUCACUUAUUGCACUGUAAUGUAGAGAAUGAUAAAAUAUCUAGGCAGAUUUUCUCUAUGACUAACACAGAAUAAGGUAAUGGCCAUAGCAUUUAUGUCCAAGGAUUUUAGGCAGCAAAGAUAAAAUGAUUGAGGAACUCUGUUUUCAUUUUCUUUGGAAGAAAUAUAGCAUUUUCUGUUUGUUCACACACAUCACUGUUGUAUUCUAUGAUAAAUACUACAAUGGGAAGAUAAUUAUUCUAAUGGGUUAGUUUUAAAGAGGCUUUUGGGGUAGAGAGAGGAGGAUUUUUCAUAGUCACUUGUAGGAGAUCUGAGUUAUGCAACAAAAAGCUAGAAAAGCUUUGUUGUUGAUUUCAGUGUGCUCAUGAGCUGGGAUUUAUGUACUUUGGUAAUUCUUUUGUGCUUGCUGAUGUAGACAAACACAACAUGCAUUGGAAUCAAGCUCGCCUUUUCAUUUAAAUGCUGCUAUGAAUAAGAGGCAUUUUUUAUAUCUAUUGACUCCUAAGAUGGCACAAACUGAUGGGUAGAAGUAGAAAAAUAACAAGAUAAACAAAGAUACUUAGUUAUAGUCUAUCUAUAGCGAUAGUAAAUAUCAGUUGUGUUUCACACCAAGCAGAGUAAAUGUUUGUUGGUUAGAUACAGGGGAUUUGUUUUAAUGGGUCUAUAUAUGUAGAUGCAGACAUGUGUAGAUUUGUGUGUAUGAUAAUAUGGCCAGGAACUUUGGAUAGUUCUUUUGCUGAGGGAGUUUACAGAUUCUAUGUUCAGAAGAUUACAAUGGACUGUUUACAGGAAGAUAUACAAACACUGACAGAAUCUGAUAUGCCACAAAGCUGCGACGAUAAUGUUGUUUUAAAAUGUGUGCUAGUGGGGACACAGAGCUAAUUUCCAUAACUAGUGGAACAUCUUAUGCCUCUAAAAGGAACUGUGGUGGAAUGCAAAGUGGAGGCUGCUUAUUAAGUGUUUUGGUGAAAAGAAGGCAAUAUUUUAUAUAAAGUACA